rnacentral:rRNA from 1 species
UGAAUACGAGACGCUACGGCGUCGAAGCAGUCUAUGUCAUACUUCCAAGAAAAGCUUGCACUGUCAUAAACAAAUAAUGCCUGUACCAUAACCGACACAGGUGGGUAGGUAGAGUAUACUAAGGGGCGCGAGAUAACUCUCUCUAAGGAACUCGGCAAAAUGACUCCGUAACUUCGGGAGAAGGAGUGCCUUAUUUAUAAGGUUGCAAUAACAAGAUCCAAGCAACUGUUUAUCAAAAACACAGGUCUCCGCUAAGUCGUAAGACGAUGUAUGGGGGCUGACGCCUGCCCAGUGCCAGAAGGUUAAAGAAGUUGGUUAGCAUUAGCGAAGCUGAUAACUGAAGCCCUGGUGAACGGCGGCCGUAACAAUAACGGUCCUAAGGUAGCGAAAUUCCUUGUCGGGUAAGUUCCGACCCGCACGAAAGGCGUAAUGAUUUGGAUACUGUCUCGGAGAGGGGCUCGGUGAAAUAGACUUGUCUGUGAAGAUGCGGACUACCUGCACCUGGACAGAAAGACCCUAUGAAGCUUUACUGUAACCUGAAAUUGAAAUUGGACUUUAUUUGCGCAGUAUAGGUGGGAGGCGUUGAGAAUAUUCUUGCGGGAAUAUUGGAGCCAUCAGUGAGAUACCACUCUUGUAAUGUUAGAUUUCUAACUUUGAAUCAUUAUCUGGUCAAAGAACAGUUUCAGGCGGGCAGUUUGACUGGGGCGGUCGCCUCCUAAAUGGUAACGGAGGCGCACAAAGGUUUCCUCUGAACGGGUAGAAAUCGUAUCUAGAGUGUAAAGGCAUAAGGAAGCUUGACUGUGAGACCUACAAGUCGAGCAGGGACGAAAGUCGGUCUUAGUGAUCUGACGGUGCUGAGUGGAAAGGCCGUCACUCAACGGAUAAAAGUUACUCUAAGGAUAACAGGCUGAUCUCCCCCAAGAGUUCACAUCGACGGGGAGGUUUGGCACCUCGAUGUCGGCUCAUCGCAUCCUGGGGCGGUAGUACGUCCCAAGGGUUGGGCUGUUCGCCCAUGAAAGCGGUACGCGAGCUGGGUUCAGAACGUCGUGAGACAGUUCGGUCCAUAUCCGGUGUAGGCGUUAGAAUAUUGAGAGGAGCCUUCUUUAGUACGAGAGGACCGAGAAGGACAUACCUCUGGUGUACCAGUUAUCGUGCCAACGGUAAACGCUGGGUAGCUAUGUAUGGAGAGGAUAACCGCUGAAAGCAUCUAAGUGGGAAGCCCACCUCAAGAUAAGUAUUCCC